rnacentral:rRNA from 1 species
UACGGAGGGUGCGAGCGUUGUCCGGAAUCACUGGGCGUAAAGGGCGCGUAGGCGGCUUUUUAAGUGUGCGGUGAAAGCCCGGGGCUUAACCCCGGGUCGGCCGUGCCGACUGAAAAGCUGGAGCACUGUAGAGGCAGGUGGAAUUCCGGGUGUAGCGGUGGAAUGCGUAGAGAUCGGAAAGAACACCAACGGCGAAAGCACUCUGCUGGGCCGACACUGACACUGAGAGACGAAAGCUAGGGGAGCGAAUGGG